AAAGUCGUAACAAGGUUUCCGUAGGUGAACCUGCGGAAGGAUCAUUAUCGAGAGAGGGACUCCGCGUCCCGGGGGGCUCCGGCCCUCCAUUCUUCAACCCUGUGUAUACCAAUCUACGUUGCUUUGGCGAGCGCCGGGGAGCAAUCCCCGGCCCUGGCUUCGGCCGGCGAGCCCUCGUCAGAGGCCCAUCAAAAUCUGUUUCAGUGACGUCCGAGGGUACCAAUAUUAAUAAAUUAAAACUUUCAACAACGGAUCUCUUGGUUCUG
rnacentral:misc_RNA from 1 species